UACGGAGGAUCCAAGCGUUAUCCGGAAUCAUUGGGUUUAAAGGGUCCGUAGGUUGAUAGAUAAGUCAGUGGUGAAAGUUUACGGCUCAACCGUGAAAUUGCCAUUGAUACUGUUUAUCUUGAAUUAUUAUGAAGUGGUUAGAACGUGUAGUGUAGCGGUGAAAUGCAUAGAUAUUACACAGAAUACCGAUUGCGAAGGCAGAUCACUAAUAAUAUAUUGACACUGAUGGACGAAAGCGUGGGUAGCGAACAGG
rnacentral:rRNA from 1 species